UACAGAGGUCCCAAGCGUUGUUCGGAUUCAUUGGGCGUAAAGGGUGCGUAGGCGGCGCGGUAAGUCGGGUGUGAAAUCUCGGGGCUUAACUCCGAAACUGCAUUCGAUACUGCCGUGCUUGAGGACUGGAGAGGAGACUGGAAUUUACGGUGUAGCGGUGAAAUGCGUAGAUAUCGGGAGGAACACCAGCGGCGAAGGCGGCCAUCUGGACAGAUAUUGACGCUGAUGUGCGAAAGCGUGGGGAGCAAACAGG
rnacentral:rRNA from 1 species